rnacentral:rRNA from 1 species
UACGUAGGGUGCAAGCGUUGUCCGGAAUUAUUGGGCGUAAAGGGCUCGUAGGCGGUCUGUCACGUCGGGAGUGAAAACUCAGGGCUUAACCCUGAGCCUGCUUCCGAUACGGGCAGACUAGAGGUAUGCAGGGGAGAACGGAAUUCCUGGUGUAGCGGUGAAAUGCGCAGAUAUCAGGAGGAACACCGGUGGCGAAGGCGGGUCUCUGGGCAACAACUGACGCUGAGGAGCGAAAGCGUGGGGAGCGAACAGG